CUACAGUAUCUAGUACACAGGACUCUGGACUUCAUAAUAUAGGUGGAAAUCACAGAAGCUUAAAAAGGAAUGAUUCUAGUGAAAAUUCUUCUACUGUUACCAGAUCUUUAUUUAGGGAAGAAAAGUCACAGGAACUGGGUGCCCUAGUUAAUUACCACAAUCCAUUGAGACCACUAAACAAAUUUAACCAGAUUUGCCCAUUUGGGAGGAUUCCUGUUACCCUAGUAUCUGAUGAUGGUGAUGACAUGGAGGAUUCAGAUGUCCCACUCACGGCUAGUGUUAUGAAGAGGUAUGGUUAUUGAGUUUACUUACAGCACAACAGAUUUUAAUACUCCUUUUUAAUGGU
rnacentral:lncRNA from 1 species